CGACGAUACACUCCGAGGAGCUGGAAGCAAGCACUGAUCCGGAGAUUUCCGAAUGGGGCAACCCUAAAUACGGUCACCUGAAUAUAUAGGGUGAUGCGAGCAAACCGGGCGAACUGAAACAUCUUAGUAACCCGAGGAAGAGAAAGCAAAAGCGAUUCCCCUAGUAGCGGCGAGCGAAAAGGGACCAGCCUAAACCAUUGACUACGGUUGAUGGGGUUGUGGGACAGUAACGUGGACUAUGAUGGUUAGAUGAAGCAGCUGAAUACUGCACCAUAGAAGGUGAAAGUCCUGUAAUCGAAAACUUGAACAGCCUAACUGCAUCCCGAGUAGCACGGAGCUCGUGGAAUUCCGUGUGAAUCAGCGAGGACCACCUCGUAAGGCUAAAUACUCCUGUGUGACCGAUAGCGAAACAGUACCGCGAGGGAAAGGUGAAAAGAACCCCGGGAGGGGAGUGAAAUAGAACAUGAAACCGUUAGCCUACAAGCAAUGGGAGGACGAUUGAACGUCUGACCGUGUGCCUGUUGAAGAAUGAGCCGGCGACUUACAGGCUGUGGCAGGUUAAGUGGUAAUACCACGAAGCCAAAGUGAAAGCGAGUCUGAAUAGGGCGAUAGUCACAGUUUGUAGACCCGAACCCGGGUGAUCUAACCAUGGCCAGGAUAAAGCUGGGGUAAUACCUUGUGGAGGUCCGAACCGACUAAUGUUGAAAAAUUAGCGGAUGAGUUGUGGUUAGGGGUGAAAUGCCAAUCGAACCCGGAGCUAGCUGGUUCUCCCCGAAAUGUGUUUAGGCACAGCGGUUGUGUACCUUGUAGAGGGGUAAAGCACUACUUCGCUGCGGGCUGCGAGAGCGGUACCAAAGUGACGUAAACUCAGAAUACUCUGCAAGCAUCAGCCAGUCAGACGGUGGGGGAUAAGCUUCAUCGUCGAAAGGGAAACAGCCCAGACCACCAGCUAAGGUCCCAAAAUGAAUGCUAAGUGAUAAAGGAGGUGGGGGUGCUUUGACAACCAGGAGGUUUGCUUAGAAGCAGCAAUCCUUGAAAGAGUGCGUAAUAGCUCACUGGUCAAGCGCUCCUGCGCCGAAAAUGAACGGGGCUAAGCAUUCUACCGAAGCUGUGGACUACUACGGUAGUGGUAGGGGAGCGUUCUAUAUAGGGUGAAGCACUAGCGGCAAGCAGGUGUGGACAGUAUAGAAGUGAGAAUGUCGGCUUGAGUAGCGAAAACAUAUGUGAGAAUCAUAUGCCCCGAAAUCCUAAGGGUUCCUCCGGAAGGCUCGUCCGCGGAGGGUUAGUCAGGGCCUAAGGCGAGGCUGAAAAGCGUAGUCGAUGGACAACGGGUUAAUAUUCCCGUACUGAUUAAAGAUUGUGGCGGGGGACGGAGAAGGUUUAGUAUUAGCCGGAUGAUGGUUACCGGUGCAAAGUUACGAGGUUAUGAGGAACGGAGAAAACGUUCUGAGCUAAGUGCUGAGUCCAAGGAGCUACGGCUCUGGAGUAAUACGAAUCAUACUUCCUAGAAAAGCCCGGACCACGUUAAUUUUUAAUUACUUGUACCCGAAACCGACACAGGUAGGAAGGUAGAGAAUACUAAGGGGCGCGAGAUAACUCUCUCUAAGGAACUCGGCAAAAUGACCCCGUAACUUCGGGAGAAGGGGUGCCUGCUUAACCGCAGGUCGCAGUGAAUAGGCCCAAGCGACUGUUUACCAAAAACACAGGUCUCCGCUAAGUCGCAAGACGCAGUAUGGGGGCUGACGCCUGCCCAGUGCCGGAAGGUUAAGGAAGUUGGUUAGUUUCGACGAAGCUAGCGACCGAAGCCCCGGUGAACGGCGGCCGUAACUAUAACGGUCCUAAGGUAGCGAAAUUCCUUGUCGGGUAAG
rnacentral:rRNA from 1 species